GACGAACGCUGGCGGCGUGCUUAACACAUGCAAGUCGAACGGAAAGGCCCCGUUGGGGGUACUCGCGUGGCGAACGGGUGAGUAACACGUGCGUAACCUGCCCUUGCCUUCGGGUUAGCUUCCGGAAACUGGGGCUAAUACCGGAUAGGAAUCCUUGCUGCCUGGAGGGGGUUGGAAGGCUUCGGCGGUUUUGGAUGGACUCGCGGCUUGUCAGUUUGUUGGUGGGGUAGGGGCUUACCAAGGCUUUGGCGGGUAGCCGGCCUGGGGGGGCGACCGGCCACAUUGGGACUUGGAUACGGGCCAGACUCCUACGGGAGGCAGCAGGGGGGAAUAUUGCACAAUGGGCGGAAGCCUGAUUCAGCAACGCCGCGGGCGGGAUGACGGCCUUCGGGUUGGAAACCGCUUUCAGCAGGGGCGAAGCUUGUGGUGACGGUACCUGCAGAAGAAGCACCGGCUAACUACGUG
rnacentral:rRNA from 1 species